UGCAGUCGNNNNNNCUCUGGUAUUGAUUGGUGCUUGCAUCAUGAUUUACAUUUGAGUGAGUGGCGAACUGGUGAGUAACACGUGGGAAACCUGCCCAGAAGCGGGGGAUAACACCUGGAAACAGAUGCUAAUACCGCAUAACAACUUGGACCGCAUGGUCCGAGUUUGAAAGAUGGCUUCGGCUAUCACUUUUGGAUGGUCCCGCGGCGUAUUAGCUAGAUGGUGAGGUAACGGCUCACCAUGGCAAUGAUACGUAGCCGACCUGAGAGGGUAAUCGGCCACAUUGGGACUGAGACACGGCCCAAACUCCUACGGGAGGCAGCAGUAGGGAAUCUUCCACAAUGGACGAAAGUCUGAUGGAGCAACGCCGCGUGAGUGAAGAAGGGUUUCGGCUCGUAAAACUCUGUUGUUAAAGAAGAACAUAUCUGAGAGUAACUGUUCAGGUAUUGACGGUAUUUAACCAGAAAGCCACGGCUAACUACGUGCCAGCAGCCGCGGUAAUACGUAGGUGGCAAGCGUUGUCCGGAUUUAUUGGGCGUAAAGCGAGCGCAGGCGGUUUUUUAAGUCUGAUGUGAAAGCCUUCGGCUCAACCGAAGAAGUGCAUCGGAAACUGGGAAACUUGAGUGCAGAAGAGGACAGUGGAACUCCAUGUGUAGCGGUGAAAUGCGUAGAUAUAUGGAAGAACACCAGUGGCGAAGGCGGCUGUCUGGUCUGUAACUGACGCUGAGGCUCGAAAGUAUGGGUAGCAAACAGGAUUAGAUACCCUGGUAGUCCAUACCGUAAACGAUGAAUGCUAAGUGUUGGAGGGUUUCCGCCCUUCAGUGCUGCAGCUAACGCAUUAAGCAUUCCGCCUGGGGAGUACGGCCGCAAGGCUGAAACUCAAAGGAAUUGACGGGGGCCCGCACAAGCGGUGGAGCAUGUGGUUUAAUUCGAAGCUACGCGAAGAACCUUACCAGGUCUUGACAUACCAUGCAAAUCUAAGAGAUUAGACGUUCCCUUCGGGGACAUGGAUACAGGUGGUGCAUGGUUGUCGUCAGCUCGUGUCGUGAGAUGUUGGGUUAAGUCCCGCAACGAGCGCAACCCUUAUUAUCAGUUGCCAGCAUUAAGUUGGGCACUCUGGUGAGACUGCCGGUGACAAACCGGAGGAAGGUGGGGAUGACGUCAAAUCAUCAUGCCCCUUAUGACCUGGGCUACACACGUGCUACAAUGGAUGGUACAACGAGUUGCGAACUCGCGAGAGUAAGCUAAUCUCUUAAAGCCAUUCUCAGUUCGGAUUGUAGGCUGCAACUCGCCUACAUGAAGUCGGAAUCGCUAGUAAUCGCGGAUCAGCAUGCCGCGGUGAAUACGUUCCCGGGCCUUGUACACACCGCCCGUCACACCAUGAGAGUUUGUAACACCCAAAGUCGGUGGGGUA
rnacentral:rRNA from 2 species